UAGCUCCUCUCCUCAUUGGAUGAGUGUGUUGUCUGUUCAAUGGUGCAUGCAUUGGCAUGUUCCAUUCAUGCUCUCCUCUUUCUUCUUUAGUUAUAUAUAUCUCUCUCUAGUUAUGGAGGACGUUAACUUCAAAAGUUUAGUUAUAGAUGGCGAGUAAACCACCUACUGAACCCCCCUUGAAAAAAUAGGCAUCAAUGAGCAUGGCAUAGGUAACAAACCAGUUGUAAAAUGAUUAUCUCCCGAACUUACGAGAAUGGACUUUUUUGAAGUGGCGCCUCCGUAUACCCCCUCUUAGUCCUGUCCCACCCCGCUCUCUACCUUCGUUGAUUGACUUCUGACACGGAUUUGAAUUAUUUUCCAACCUUAUGGGGGCAGGGGGUGGUCCAGGGUGGAAUGUAAAGGUGUAAAACUUAAGAGGCCCGUUCAUUGAGAAUGCCUUUUCGGCAAAAAAAUAUAACCCCAGAUACUAGGCGAUGCAGAGCAACAAAAUCGAUUGAAUCCUACUCCACUCUCGUCCUGUGGGCCGAUGAUAUCAAUUGUGGAGAAGGAAUAGAAAGAAUGAUACAAUAUACAUCUUAAAUAGAUAAGAAAACGUUUUAUUUGUUUUUAAUCGCUACAUUAAUAUUAAGAAAGAAAAGAAUUGACAGCAAAAUGACAUGGGUUGAAACCUAGGUAACCGAAGAACGAAAUAAAUGAUCAAUCGAUCGUGUGAAUACUAUAUAUAGAGGGAUAUCUUGCCCAUUCAAACCCAACUCCACAUCGCAGAUGGUGUGACUGGUAAACCAGGGGCAUGAGAUAAUUAAACGCGAGAUAGCACGUCCAUGAGCUCAAGGUAUAUGUAGAUGUCGUAAGCACUGUAAGCAUCAGAGGAGUGUGUCACUGAGGGGUCAGCUCGGGGGGAUGAAGGAAAAAGAGGGUGUUAGAGUGAUUUAGCCAUCACUACCACUGCUUCUGAACGUAGCGCACAGUUGGCAGUAGUGGUGUGUCAGGUCCAAGACGGGUUGCGGAAGGUUUGUGGCUUGCACAAUGCUGCGUACUUUGACGGCGCCUUCUUCUUCGAUCAGUUUGCGUAUGGUGAAGAGAAGUUCAGGGGAGAACUCUGAAUACCACCGAUAUUGCCAGGCAAUAAGUCUGAUCAGAGCACCGAGCAUUCCCCGUGUUUCGCCUUGACGCUCAUACAUUUUCAGAAUCCCCUUCAUCGCCUUUGGUGAGAAUCUGAUGGAUAGGCAGUGUUGGUAGGCUUCGAUGGCUUCAUUGAAAUGCUGAAGUCGCUCAGCGAGCUCCCCGAGGAUCUCCCAUUCUGUGGCUGAUUUCUUAUAAUCGACUGAUUGUUGGCG
rnacentral:sRNA from 1 species